CCUACGAGGCAGCAGUGAGGAAUAUUUGUCAAUAGCCGGAAGGCUGAACCAGCCAUGCCGCGUGAAGGUCAGUGCCCUAUGGGCGUUAAACUUCUUUUGUGCGGGAGCAAUAAUGGUCACGUGUGGCCAGACGAGAGUACCGUACGAAUAAGCAUCGGCUAACUCCGUGCCAGCAGCCGCGGUAAUACGGGGGAUGCAGGCGUUAUCCGGAUUUAUUGGGUUUAAAGGGGGCGUAGGCUGUGAGGUAAGUCAGCGGUGAAAUGCCCCCGCUCAACGGGGUGAAGUGCCAUUGAUACUGUCUGGCUGGAAUGCGGAUGCAGUGGGAGGAAUGUGUGGUGUAGCGGGGAAAUGCAUAGAUAUCACACAGAACACCGAUUGCGAAGGCAUCUCACGAAUCCGCGAUUGACGCUGAUGCACGAAAGCGUGGGUAUCAAACAGGAUUAGAUACCCUAGUAGUC
rnacentral:rRNA from 1 species